rnacentral:rRNA from 1 species
AUGAUGGUGACCUAAACCCUCACCAGAGUAACAAUUGGAGGGCAAGUCUGGUGCCAGCAGCCGCGGUAAUUCCAGCUCCAAUAGCGUAUAUUAAACUUGUUGCAGUUAAAAAGCUCGUAGUUGAAUUUCUGCGUUAUCGAGUUAUUGACUCUUGUCUUUAAUCGAUUUCGCUUUUGGGAUUUAUCCCUUUUUACUUUGAGAAAAUUAGAGUGUUUCAAGCAGACUUUUGUCUUGAAUACUUCAGCAUGGAAUAAUAGAGUAGGACUUUGGUUCUAUUUUGUUGGUUUUUGAACCUUAGUAAUGGUUAAUAGGAACGGUUGGGGGCAUUCGUAUUUAACUGUCAGAGGUGAAAUUCUUAGAUUUGUUAAAGACGAACUACUGCGAAAGCAUUUGCCAAGGACGUUUCCAUUAAUCAAGAACGAAAGUUAGGGGAUCGAAGACGAUCAGAUACCGUCGUAGUCCUAACCAUAAACUA